UACGAAGGGAGCUAGCGUUGUUCGGAAUUACUGGGCGUAAAGCGCACGUAGGCGGACUUGUCAGUCAGGGGUGAAAUCCCAAGGCUCAACCUUGGAACUGCCUCCGAUACAGCAAGUCUUGAGAUCGGGAGAGGUGAGUGGAAUUCCUAGUGUAGAGGUGAAAUUCGUAGAUAUUAGGAAGAACACCAGUGGCGAAGGCGGCUCACUGGCCCGAUACUGACGCUGAGGUGCGAAAGCGUCGGGAGCAAACAGG
rnacentral:rRNA from 1 species